rnacentral:rRNA from 1 species
UUAGAGUUUGAUCCUGGCUCAGAACGAACGCUGGCGGCGUGCUUAACACAUGCAAGUCGAACGUGAUUGGAAGCUUGCUUCCAUGAAAGUGGCGCACGGGUGAGUAACGCGUGGAUAACCUGCCCUGGUAUCCGGAAUAACAUCUCGAAAGGGGUGCUAAUACCGGAUAAGCCUACGGAGCCCUCGGUCUCUGCAGGAAAAGGUGGCCUCUAUUUAUAAGCUACCGUAUCAGGAUGGGUCCGCGUACCAUUAGCUAGUUGGUGGGGUAAUGGCCUACCAAGGCGACGAUGGUUAGCUGGUCUGAGAGGAUGAUCAGCCACACUGAACUGAGACACGGUCCAGACUCCUACGGGAGGCAGCAGUGGGAAUUUUGCGCAAUGGGGGAAACCCUGACGCAGCAACGCCGCGUGAGUGAUGAAGGCUUUCGGGUCGUAAAGCUCUGUCAGAGGGGAAGAAAUGGAAACGGUUAAUACCCGUUUUCCUUGACGGUACCCUCAAAGGAAGCACCGGCUAACUCCGUGCCAGCAGCCGCGGUAAUAC